rnacentral:rRNA from 1 species
CACCAACCACUCAAAAAAAAAAAACCCAACCAAAUCCUAACUCUGCAACUGCAACUCACCUUGCUCGUCCCCGUUGCCGGCGGCAGCGUCGCCGCCGCGACCGUAUCCCUUCGCCGGCGGGGCGCGAGGCCCUGACCUUUCCGUCCGCGCUGAAUACGUGCGGCUUGGCCGUGCCACCGCGUUCUCGGGAGUUUGGAUCUUGGCUGUCCUCGUAGCCGCCCCCGCAUCCCUAUUGCUCGUGCAGUCGUGCUCCUCCGAAUUCGCCGGCUGCCGGUGUCCCGGCUCGGCCACAGCCCGCAGGACCAUGGUACAAGAACAGAAAGGAGAAACAUCCAGUGGCAUGUAUACUUACAAGCAUCAUGGUGACAAGGGAGUUGAUAUCCAUGAGAUUUUCGUUAAGAAGAGCAGAACCCGUGUUCUGCUGUCAUACUGUGGCCUCAUUUUACUUCUAGCAAUUGUCUGCCGAUCAUUGCUGGGAAAGGAAAAGUUGUGUCUUGAGUCAGUGUGGAGUGUUACCUUUGGAAUUCUGGUUGCCAAAUGUUUGCAAUACAAACCAGUGAAGAAAGAGUCAGUAGUGAUAAUGCCAUCUUUUGGGGUUCAGCUAGAAAUACAUUUUUGGAGCGGAAGAGUUGAUCGUCAUUUUGUGCCAAUUGGCAAGAUUCUAAAGCCACUGCUGAACGAGUGUGUGACACCCGUGACCUGUUACUGGAGCUUGGCGUUGCUUCUGCGUGAUGAGGAGGAGCUCAAGCUAGUUUUCCAGAAAUUUCGCCCACCUGUCAAAAUGUUGGUCCCUAUCUGGAGAGCUCUCUGUGCAUUCACAGACUCUGAAUGCACAAGCCGGCAUUCUGCAGUUUCUAAACCGAAUCGUUCAGAAGCGUGACUGUGCUGGCGAUCUGUUGUGAUUGCGACGUUCGGCAAAGCGGAUGCAGCUGAGCUUAGAUGCCAAACUGAGCUAGAGGUAGGUCUCACUAGUGUGAGGGGCACUAAUUGUUAGGAUGAACGCCUGCAGAUUUUCAGACGUGGGUGUACAGUGUACUGCACUUAACAGCUAUACGGCCGAUAGUUCUCAAAUAGUACAAAAUAUCGUCCAUGUUCUGAAUUGUUCCUUUGGCGACAAUGCAGGCCACCAUGGGAUCUACGCCAUCAACCUUUUGAUUUUGAAAUCUUGACCAGUGGUAUAGUUAAAAGUAUUUGGUUGUCUAUAUGAAAAUGAUUGCCGGAUUGUUUCUUAUUAUAAGCCAUGGUUUUGUUUCCUGAGA